rnacentral:rRNA from 1 species
UACGGAGGUGGCAAGCGUUGUUCGGAAUUACUGGGCGUAAAGGGCGCGUAGGCGGGGAGGUAAGUCGGGUGUGAAAUCCCCGGGCUCAACCUGGGAACUGCAUCUGUGACUGUAUAGCUAGAGUACGGUAGAGGGGGAUGGAAUUCCGCGUGUAGCAGUGAAAUGCGUAGAUAUGCGGAGGAACACCGAUGGCGAAGGCAAUCCCCUGGACCUGUACUGACGCUCAUGCACGAAAGGCGUGGGGAGCAAACAGG